GCAGCAUGUUCAAUCUUCUUUUUAUUGAAGUAUUGACAUUUUUAGAGCCUCUAGGAGAUAAUAAAGCUGUUAUUCUUGAGGAUGAUGAGCAAAACAAGGAUAGACGGCAAGUUGCAUCACAUCCUGGAGUUGAUGGAUUCAAAUAAGCUGUGGUGUGAUUGUUCUCA